UCAAAAUGCAAUAGCUUCCAGAGACCACU
rnacentral:piRNA from 1 species